rnacentral:sRNA from 1 species
GACCAUGGAAAUGCCACCUGUCACCACC